CUAAAACUUAAAGUAUAAUAAAAAAAAAUUCAUUGUAAACAUUAGUGUGCUAUAGUACUUUGACAAUGGAAAUUGAGGGAAGAAAGUGUUUAGGAAGUGUUUAUAGAAGGAAAUGUUUAUAAAAGAACAGUAGAGUGGGACAGAUUAGAAGUUGCUGAUGGGGAAGAAGGAUCAUAUAAUAUGAGUCUCUACUAUGAUAUUAAUUAAUGAAUUAUAGAAAUACAGGGAUGAUCAAAUUGGUGGGGGAAGUCUAUGAAUUCAACUUUGCAUAUAUGGACUUUGAGAAACUUCUGAGAAAACCAGGUGAAGCUAGUUCAUUGUCAGUUAGGUAAAGGAGUCUGUAACCAAGAAAAAGGUAUGAGCAAAAGAUAAAGAUUUGUAAGUCACUGACAUUCAGUUGGCAGCCUAGGUGACAGAAAUGGAAAAGAGAGCCAGAGAGAAAAUAUAGAUUGAAGAGAAAUGAAUCAUUGUCAUUGCAUAACAGCUGAAUCAUCAGAUGGGAUUCUCUGGUCUGUCUACUAGUUGUAUUUUUAAAAGACCUGGGUAGGGCUGAAUUGUCCCAAAAAGCAACGAGUAAUCUCAUUAGUGUCCCUCUCGCAAGGGUGGAGAAGGUAAGUUUGCUGGUCUUUUUUUCUUUUUUCUUUCAAUUCUUCCCAUCCUUUCCAUUCCUUUUGCUUUCAAUGCUUCUCUCCCCCCAUAAUACCUGUAUCUACAUAGUGCUCAUUACCUUAUUCCAAAACCAUUCUUUGCUUCAUAGACUGUAUAUUUUGAGGGUCAUGUCCUGAACAGAUAAAUGAAUGAGGGAGUCUGAGACAAUUUUAUUUUUCUUUUAUGAUUUUAAACUGUCUGAACAAUUGAUGAACCUACAUUGACACAUUCUCACUAGAAUCCAUAGUAUACAUUAGGGUUCACUCUUGGUGUUGUGCAUUCAAUGGGUUUGGAAAAUUUAUAAUAAAUAUUUAUGUAUAUGUUUGUAGCAAAUAUGCCACUCUGGUGGGGAAUGUUGAUAACAGGGGAAGCUAUAUCUGGGUGUGGGCAGUGGGUAGAUGGAAAAAUCUCUGUACCUUCCACUCAGUUUUGCUGUGAACUGAAAACUGCUCU
rnacentral:lncRNA from 10 species